UGGGGAAUAUUGGACAAUGGGCGAAAGCCUGAUCCAGCCAUGCCGCGUGUGUGAAGAAGGUCUUCGGAUUGUAAAGCACUUUAAGUUGGGAGGAAGGGCAGUAAGCGAAUACCUUGCUGUUUUGACGUUACCGACAGAAUAAGCACCGGAUAACUCUGUGCCAGCAGCCGCGGUAAUACAGAGGGUGCAAGCGUUAAUCGGAAUUACUGGGCGUAAAGCGCGCGUAGGUGGUUUGUUAAGUUGAAUGUGAAAGCCCCGGGCUCAACCUGGGAACUGCAUCCAAAACUGGCGAGCUAGAGUAGGGCAGAGGGUGGUGGAAUUUCCUGUGUAGCGGUGAAAUGCGUAGAUAUAGGAAGGAACACCAGUGGCGAAGGCGACCACCUGGGCUCAUACUGACACUGAGGUGCGAAAGCGUGGGGAGCAAACAGG
rnacentral:rRNA from 1 species